AUACUUUCUCGACCUUUUUGCUAAGAUGAAGUGUAACAUCCGUUCUUAUCAGUUUAAUAUCUGAUAUAUGGACCAUCAUGUCCAUAUGAUAUUAAUUUUUUUGUGGGAGAGGAUCUAUAUAUGAGCCUGGUACAUGGAUUCUCACGUAUCGGUCUAAACGUUGCACUAUUACUAGAGGCAGCGCAUCUCAA
rfam:Triticum aestivum genome assembly, contig: Triticum_aestivum_CS42_TGACv1_scaffold_130059_2BL